ACGGUCCCGCUUAUUCACGGUGCUAUGCUUACCAUGCAGUUUUGAGGUUUACUUUCAGCCUUUUCUUCAAGUCCCGCCGACCUUCCAGGAGGAGUCCAUGGAGCACCGCACUUUAUUCUGGACAUCGUGUGUAAGCGCGUAUUUUUCAUUUCCAUUUUUUUAAGAAGCAGCUUUUGCACCUAUUCGUGUAUAUCAGGGCCGGCGGAUGUCCCGCUCCUGAACGAGCUGUGCAUCGAAGAUUGUCUAGCCCGAGCCCACGUGGAGAUGGCGUUGAACACCACCCGUCCUGUCGCCGUGUCGGCAGCACUUCCACAUUCAACCGCCGAUACUCCUGUCAGUAGGAGGGACUUCAAUAAGCGCCAUAUGCUUUUCCGCGUCUGUCUUCCACUGCUACCCGUGACAAGGAGAUGGAGCUGGCUCCUGCAGAUUGGUUCCAAUGUAUACAUUCUUGGUCUCCUGGGCAACGCACGCCACAUGACCGAACUUGCUGCCACCUUCGCACUGCUUCGCUGAUGGCGUCAUCGAGGGAGACUGCACAUUGCUUCUACUCGUGGAAUUCUGUUGCUUCCCAGAGUCCAUCGCUACCCGUGACAAAGACAUGAAGCUGGCUCCAGCAGACUGGUUACAAUGCCUACGUUCCUGAGGUCCUCGGGGCACCACUCGUCGUAUGUCCGAACUUAUGGCCACAUUUGCAUUGCUUUGCUGACGGCGACAUCCAGGGAGACGGGACAUGGUCACUACCUUUGCAGACGGUAGGAAAAGACUUCAUUAUUUGUAUCGUCCU